rnacentral:rRNA from 1 species
GACGAACGCUGGCGGCGUGCCUAAUACAUGCAAGUUGAGCGCUGAAGGUUGGUACUUGUACCAACUGGAUGAGCAGCGAUCGGGUGAGUAACGCGUGGGGAAUCUGCCUUUGAGCGGGGGACAACAUUUGGAAACGAAUGCUAAUACCGCAUAAAAACUUUAAACACAAGUUUUAAGUUUGAAAGAUGCAAUUGCAUCACUCAAAGAUGAUCCCGCGUUGUAUUAGCUAGUUGGUGAGGUAAAGGCUCACCAAGGCGAUGAUACAUAGCCGACCUGAGAGGGUGCUCGGCCACAUUGGGACUGAGACACGGCCCAAACUCCUACGGGAGGCAGCAGUAGGGAAUCUUCGGCAAUGGACGAAAGUCUGACCGAGCAACGCCGCGUGAGUGAAGAAGGUUUUCGGAUCGUAAAACUCUGUUGGUAGAGAAGAACGUUGGUGAGAGUGGAAAGCUCAUCAAGUGACGGUAACUACCCAGAAAGGGACGGCUAACUACGUG